UCAGCGGCGGACGGGUGAGUAACACGUGGGCAACCUGCCUGUAAGACUGGGAUAACUCCGGGAAACCGGGGCUAAUACCGGAUAACUCUUUUCCUCACAUGAGGAAAAGCUGAAAGAUGGUUUCGGCUAUCACUUACAGAUGGGCCCGCGGCGCAUUAGCUAGUUGGUGAGGUAACGGCUCACCAAGGCCACGAUGCGUAGCCGACCUGAGAGGGUGAUCGGCCACACUGGGACUGAGACACGGCCCAGACUCCUACGGGAGGCAGCAGUAGGGAAUCUUCCGCAAUGGACGAAAGUCUGACGGAGCAACGCCGCGUGAGUGAUGAAGGUUUUCGGAUCGUAAAACUCUGUUGUCAGGGAAGAACAAGUACCGGAGUAACUGCCGGUACCUUGACGGUACCUGACCAGAAAGCCACGGCUAACUACGUGCCAGCAGCCGCGGUAAUACGUAGGUGGCAAGCGUUGUCCGGAAUUAUUGGGCGUAAAGCGCGCGCAGGCGGUUCCUUAAGUCUGAUGUGAAAGCCCCCGGCUCAACCGGGGAGGGUCAUUGGAAACUGGGGAACUUGAGUGCAGAAGAGAAGAGUGGAAUUCCACGUGUAGCGGUGAAAUGCGUAGAGAUGUGGAGGAACACCAGUGGCGAAGGCGACUCUUUGGUCUGUAACUGACGCUGAGGCGCGAAAGCGUGGGGGAGCAAACAGGAUUAGAUACCCUGGUAGUCCACGCCGUAACGAUGAGUGCUAAGUGUUAGAGGGUUUCCGCCCUUUAGUUGCUGCAGCAAACGCAU
rnacentral:rRNA from 1 species